rnacentral:snRNA from 1 species
AUGCUUAAAUGGGAUGUUUAGGUGCUAAUUUUAUAACUUGCAUUACUGACCCCUGUGAAUUCCCCAAAUGUUGGAAUCUCUGUUGCAUAAUUUAUGGUAGUGGGGGAUGCGUUCGCGCUCCUCCUG